rnacentral:lncRNA from 1 species
AAGCAGUCUCUACAUGGCCUUUCCUACAGUCUCUGAUCUACUCUUUCCCUCUGUAUUUCCUUUAGACAGGGGCCAAGCCUAACCUCUGUAUAUGGUCUCUACAAGUUCUCUCUCCCCUUUGUAUUUCAAAUAAUGUCAUCACUGUUGGGUUCUGGGAACCUCUUGCUUUCCUGGCAUCUGGGACUUUAUGGUUGCUAUCCCCAUUUCACCAUCCCACACUGCUAUACACUUCUGUUUAAAUUUGUGACCCUCUGUACAUCUUUACUGUUUCCUCCCACACCUGAUCUUGCCCCCUUUUGCCCCGACCUCUCUCUCUCCUCACUCCCUCCCAAGUCUAUCUCCCUCAUUCCAUCUUCCAGGAUGGUUUUGUUCCCCCUUCUAAGUAGGACUGAAGCAUCCACACUUUGAUCUUCCUUUUUCUUGAGCUUCAUUUGGUCUAUGAAUUGUACCACGGGUAUUCUGAGCUUUUUUUGUAAUAUCCACUUAUUAGUGAAUACAUACCAUGUGUGUUCUUUUGUGACUGGGUUAGCUCACACAGGAUGAUAUUUUGUAGUUCCAUCCAUUUGCAGAAUUUCAUGAAGUCAUUGUUUUUAAUAGCUGAGAACUAAUCCAUUGUGUAAAUGUACCAAGUUUUCUGCAUCUAUUCCUGUUGAAGGACAUCUAGGUUGUUUCCAGAUUCUGGCUAUUAUAAAUAAGGCUGCUAUGAAUAUAGUAGAGCAUGUGUCCUUAUUACAUGUUGGAGCAUCUUUUGAAUAUAUGCCCCAGAGUGGUAUAGCUGGGUCCUCAGAUAGCAGUACUAUGUCCAAUUUUCUGAGGAACUGACAAACUGAUUUCCAGAGUGGUUGUGCAAGCUUGCAAUCCCAACAACAAUGAAGGAAUGAAUGUUCCUUUUUUUCCACAACCUCACUAGCAUCUGCUGUCACUUGCGUUUUUGAUCUUAGCUAUUCUGACUAGUGUAAGGUGGAAUCUCAGGGUUGUUUUGAUUUGCAUUUUCCUGAUGACUAAGGAUGUUGAACAUUUCUUUAGGUGAUUCUAUGCCAUUCAAGAUUCCUCAGUUGAGAAAUCUUUGUUUAGCUCUGUACCCAUUUUUUAAUAGGGCUAUUUGGUUCUCCGGAGUCUAACUUACUGAGUUCUUUGUAUAUAUUGGAUAUUAGCCUUCUAUCAGUUGUAGGGUUGGUAAAGAUCUUUUCCCAAUUUGUAGGUUGCCAUUUUAUCAUAUUGGCAGUGUCGUUUGCCUUACAGAAGCUUUGCAAUCUUAAGAGAUCCCAUUUGUCUACAGUUGAUCUUAGACCUUAGGACACUAGUGUUCUGCUCAGGAAAAUUUCCUAUGCCCAUGUGUUCGAGGCUCUUUCUCACUUUUUCUCCUGUUAGAUUUUGUGUUUCUGGCUUUAUAUGGAGGUUCUUGGUCCACCUGGACUUGAACUUUGUACAAGGAGAUAAGAAUGGAUCAAUUUGCAUUAUUCUACAUGCAGACUGCUACUUGAGCCAGCACCAUUUGUUGAAUAUGCUGUUUUUUUUUUUUCCCCCCACUGGAUGAUUUUAACUUCUUUGUCAAAGAUUAGAUGAGCAUAAGUGUGUGGGUUUAAUUCUGAAUCUUCAAUUCUAUUUCAUCGAACUACCUGCCUUUCUCUGUGCCAAGAUGAUGAGGUUUUUAUGUAUAUUGCUUUGUAAUAGAGUAGGGAUGGUGAUUUCCCCCAUAAGAUCUCUGUUGAGAAUAGUUUUUGAUAUCCUGGGUUUUUUUUGUUGUUGUUGUUGUUUCAAAUGAAUUUGAGAAUUGCUCUUUUUAUCUCUGUGAAGAUUUGAGUUGGAAUUUGAUGGGGAUUGCAUUGAAUCUGUAGAUUGCUUUUGGUAAGAUGGCCAUUUUUACUAUGUUAAUACUGACGAUCCAUGAGCAUGGGAGAUCUUUCCAUCUUUUGAGGUCUUCUUUGAUGUCUUUUUUGGGAGACUAGAAGUUCUUAUCAUACAGAUCUUUCACUUGCUUUGUUAGAAUCACACCAAGGUAUUUUAUAUUACUUGUGACUUUUGUGAAGGGUAUUCGCAAUUCCUUUCUCAGCCCAUUUAUUUUUUUUGAGUAGAGGAAAACUACUGAUUUGUUUGAGUUAAUUUUACAUCCAGCCACUUUGCUGAAGUUGUUUAACAGCUGUAGGAGUUCUCUGGUGGAAAUUUUAGGGUCACUUAUAUAUACUAUCAUAUCAUCUGCAAAUAGUGAUAUUUCGACUUCCUCUUUUUCAAUUUGUAUCCUAUUUGCAUAGAAGGCUAAUAUCCAAUUGAAGAUCUCCUUUUGUUGUCUAAUUGCUCUAGCUAAAUCUUCAAGUACUAUAUUGAAUAGAUAGAAAGAGGACAAAAAGAAGCAAACACACCUAAGAGGAGUAGACAGCAGGAAAUAAUCAAAUUUGGGCCUGAAAUAAACCAAUUUGAAACAAAGAGAACUAUACACAUAAUUAAGAAAACCAGGAGCCGGUUCUUUGAGAAAAUCAACAAGAUAGAUAAAUCCUUAGCCAGACUUACCAGAGGGCAUAGAGAGAGAAUCUAAAGUAACAAAACC